UGUUAGCGGCGGACGGGUGAGUAACACGUGGAUAACCUACCUAUAAGACUGGGAUAACUUCGGGAAACCGGAGCUAAUACCGGAUAAUAUUUUGAACCGCAUGGUUCAAAAGUGAAAGACGGUCUUGCUGUCACUUAUAGAUGGAUCCGCGCUGCAUUAGCUAGUUGGUAAGGUAACGGCUUACCAAGGCAACGAUGCAUAGCCGACCUGAGAGGGUGAUCGGCCACACUGGAACUGAGACACGGUCCAGACUCCUACGGGAGGCAGCAGUAGGGAAUCUUCCGCAAUGGGCGAAAGCCUGACGGAGCAACGCCGCGUGAGUGAUGAAGGUCUUCGGAUCGUAAAACUCUGUUAUUAGGGAAGAACAUAUGUGUAAGUAACUGUGCACAUCUUGACGGUACCUAAUCAGAAAGCCACGGCUAACUACGUGCCAGCAGCCGCGGUAAUACGUAGGUGGCAAGCGUUAUCCGGAAUUAUUGGGCGUAAAGCGCGCGUAGGCGGUUUUUUAAGUCUGAUGUGAAAGCCCACGGCUCAACCGUGGAGGGUCAUUGGAAACUGGAAAACUUGAGUGCAGAAGAGGAAAGUGGAAUUCCAUGUGUAGCGGUGAAAUGCGCAGAGAUAUGGAGGAACACCAGUGGCGAAGGCGACUUUCUGGUCUGUAACUGACGCUGAUGUGCGAAAGCGUGGGGAUCAAACAGGAUUAGAUACCCUGGUAGUCCACGCCGUAAACGAUGAGUGCUAAGUGUUAGGGGGUUUCCGCCCCUUAGUGCUGCAGCUAACGCAUUAAGCACUCCGCCUGGGGAGUACGACCGCAAGGUUGAAACUCAAAGGAAUUGACGGGGACCCGCACAAGCGGUGGAGCAUGUGGUUUAAUUCGAAGCAACGCGAAGAACCUUACCAAAUCUUGACAUCCUU
rnacentral:rRNA from 1 species